AGUAUGGUUGCAAAGCUGAAACUUAAAGGAAUUGACGGAAGGGCACCACCAGGAGUGGAGCUUGCGGCUUAAUUUGACUCAACACGGGAAACCUCACCCGGCCAGUACAUCAUGAGGAUUGACAGAUUGAAAGCUCUUUCAUGAUUUGAUGAAUGGUGGUGCAUGGCCGUUCUUAGUUCGUGGCGUGAGUCGUCUGCUUAAUUGCGAUAACGAGCGAGACUCCAAUAGCUAAAUACCGACUUGGUUGUUUGCCCUGUUCGGUUCUUAGCUAGAUUUAUGACUGCAAGUCAGAAGAAAUGGAGCAAUAACAGGUCUGUGAUGCCCUUAGAUGUUCGGGGCCGCACGCGUGCUACAAUGAUGGUAACAGCGUGAUUGUCCUCGCCCGACAGGGCUUGGCAAACAGUUGAGAKA
rnacentral:rRNA from 1 species